AGGCAGUCUCAGGAGAGAAGAAAUGGGUGACGUUUCUGGUUGAGACCCUUCUUCAGACUGAUAUCAGGGGAGUGGGCGGGACAGAGAUAGAAUACAGUCGGAGACAGAAAGACUGGUGGGAGACCUGGGAAGGAGAGGGUAUGGAUGAGA